rnacentral:rRNA from 1 species
CCUACGGGUGGCUGCAGUGGGGAAUAUUGGACAAUGGGCGAAAGCCUGAUCCAGCCAUGCCGCGUGUGUGAAGAAGGCCUUCGGGUUGUAAAGCACUUUCAGUGGGGAAGAAAGCCUUGGGGCUAAUACCCUCGAGGAAGGACAUCACCCACAGAAGAAGCACCGGCUAACUCCGUGCCAGCAGCCGCGGUAAUACGGAGGGUGCGAGCGUUAAUCGGAAUUACUGGGCGUAAAGCGCGCGUAGGCGGUCUGAUAAGCCGGUUGUGAAAGCCCCGGGCUCAACCUGGGAACGGCAUCCGGAACUGUCAGGCUUGAGUGCAGGAGAGGGAGGUAGAAUUCCCGGUGUAGCGGUGGAAUUCGGAGAGAUCGGGAGGAACACCAGUGGCGAAGGCGGCCUUCUGGACUGACACUGACGCUGAGGUGCGAAAGCGUGGGUAGCAAACAGGAUUAGAUACCCGUGUAGUC